rnacentral:rRNA from 1 species
AUGGUCCGCCUCGUUGGCUGCUUCUCCAGCAAGCCUGAGGAAAGGCCUCAACUCCCUUGUAGCUCUCACAUCUGGAAGCAUCGCAAUGCCGCUCUCUUCGAUGACCUCCGACCAUCUACCGACGCCCUUGUCCACACCAUCAAGGAGGAAGCCCGGCUUUGGUCCAAAGCCGGCGCCCUAGGCUUAGCACUUAUAAUCCCUGUAACCUAG